rnacentral:rRNA from 1 species
GUGUCAGCAGCCGCGGUAAGACGAACCGUCCAAACGUUAUUCGGAAUCACUGGGCUUAAAGGGUGCGUAGGCGGUCCGAUAAGUUGGGUGUGAAAGACCUCGGCCUAACCGAGGAAUAGCGCCCAAAACUGUUGGACUUGAGUAAGGCAGAGGUGAACGGAACUUAGGGUGGAGCGGUGAAAUGCGUUGAUAUCCUAAGGAACACCAGUAGCGAAAGCGGUUCACUGGGCCUUUACUGACGCUGAUGCACGAAAGCCAGGGGAGCGAACGGGAUUAGAUACCCUAGUAGUCC